ensembl:lncRNA novel transcript
GGUUAUACAAGUGAGUCCUGUUCAGCGUGGGAGGAAAUAACACAAGAGGCAAAGAUCACUCGGGACCACCUUGUAUAUUGGCUACCACAGAACCCAACACAAGCAAUGGAGUCUCGCUCUGUUGUCCAGGCUGGAGUGCAGUGGGGCGAUCUCGGCUCACUGCAACCUCUGCCUCCUGGGUUCAAGUGAUUCUCCUGCCUCAGCCUCCCAAGUAGCGGGGACUACAGCACUGCAAUGAAUGCUGCUGCACACGCUGUUGAGCUCGUGGACACUUUCCUGCUGGGUGAGGACCCGAACGUGAAAUUGCUGGGUCAUGGAUUCAAGUGCUACACAUAUUUUUGACCACAUUACUGUGACUCAGGAAGCCCAGGAACAGAAUUCUAGGCACCAGAACCAUACAUGUUACAGCCUCUGAGCUUUAUGGCCUCUGAGCCAUUUGUCCAGCCACAUCAUUUGCAGAUGAGAUCCUGAGACUCAGGCUGGAAAAGUGACCGGGGAAAAGUCACACAAGUCAGAGGCAGAGCUGGAGUUUCCUCAUUUCCAGGCCCGUAUAGAUCAAGACGGACGUUGGUCAAACACCUCCUAGUACUCACAUGAAGAAGCUCUCCUUUCUGCUGUAGGAAUGAUCACACACCAUUCCAAUCUGGAUACCAAAUGUCAUUGUUUAUUAAAUGUGUGCAGUGUGCCAGGCA